rnacentral:sRNA from 1 species
GUUUUAAAUGAUGAAGACCUUUUGUAUCCCAAUAUACAAUACUCGACUAGUACAACGUACAAUGCUGUCGUAAACUUAUCACCAUCUUUCGACUGACUUUUA